rnacentral:rRNA from 1 species
ACGGGAGGCAGCAGUCGGGAAUAUUGCGCAAUGGAGGAAACUCUGACGCAGUGACGCCGCGUAUAGGAAGAAGGUUUUCGGAUUGUAAACUAUUGUCGUUAGGGAAGAGAAAGGACAGUACCUAAGGAGGAAGCUCCGGCUAACUACGUGCCAGCAGCCGCGGUAAUACGUAGGGAGCGAGCGUUAUCCGGAAUUAUUGGGUGUAAAGGGUGCGUAGACGGGAAAAUAAGUUAGUUGUGAAAUCCCUCGGCUCAACUGAGGAACUGCAACUAAAACUGUUUUUCUUGAGUGCAGGAGAGGUAAGUGGAAUUCCUAGUGUAGCGGUGAAAUGCGUAGAUAUUAGGAGGAACAUCAGUGGCGAAGGCGGCUUACUGGGCUCUAACUGACGCUGAGGCUCGAAAGCGUGGGGAGCAAACAGGAUUAGAUACCCUGGUA